UUGAAUAUUCAGAGAAGCAAAUAUGAAUGAAUACUUAGUAGUUAUUUUGGGUGAGUAGACAUUUACUCUAUAGAGUAAUUAUGAUUCAAAGAUAUAUUAAGUCUACAUUUUUUAGAUCUUAGAAUUUUCAGCAAAUGUAUUUACUUAGUGACUUUUGCACAUGGUAGGUAGGGAGUUAUGGAGUAGGAAAAGACAGUGUAUUAAAUAACUACAAAUUUAAAGUUGUUUUGUCUCCUUAGGUCAUAAUUCAGUAUGUAGUAUGGGAUAAUUUAGAAACGAAGAAUGUAGGUAUGUGGUUUGUUCAGGUUUCUGAGGUGGUAUUUCAUUUCAAUAAUCCUUA
rnacentral:lncRNA from 1 species